UGCUCUGUAUGAUUGCUUAACUUUGCUAACUUGUGGCAGCUUGAGUAUUUCCCUUAAUCAGAGAGAGCUGAUAGGAAUGGACAAGAAAAACCAGACCCUUCCAUAUCUGUGGGCAUGAACAUUGCUGUCCACAAAUAAGUGUUUAGGUUAAGACUACCCAGAGACAAGCAGCGUUGGAUAAGAAGUCAAAGAAAUACCAAAAACAUCUCCUUGGUACUGGAAGCAAAAGUGUCUUGAGAAGGAAAAUGGAAUAGCAUUCUACUAAUAGUAAUUUGCAUGUUAGUUCAUUUACUUGUACUAAAAACGAUGCCAGUCACGUGCAGCCCUGCCUCCCUGGGAGGAUGGAGCACUGGGGGGAGUUGGGGUGUGGUAAUUAGCCAAGUUUUCCUGGGUAUCCAGACUGAUCCCAUUGCUCCGUGUUCUCCUUCUGCUUCUAGGAUGGUGCAUCGAUUUAGACAACUGGAUGCAAAGCUCUCUGAUUUGAAAGGCCUUCUGAAAGAGAUUUCCAGUAAAAUUAAAUGAGUGCAGCUGAAAUUCAAGAGCAGCUACUGGAGCAGGGUACCAGUUCAUGAAGAAAAAUUGCUCGGAGCUGGCAGUAACCCCCAAGCAGAUGGUAACGGAGGCAUCAGAGUAUCAAUGUCUCGGCAGGAGUCAGCAGGAUUUUCUUGCUAUUUUUAUUUUUGUUGAUCAAACAGCCCUUUCUGCUUGUUGCAAGGUUGUGGUGAAACGGGAGAUGAUUGCUUAUCUCCUGACAUGAUUCCUGCAUUCCCCAAACUCUUCUCAUCUGCCCUUAUGUCCACUGGCAGCAAUUAGUCCUUGUAAGCUGCUGUUGCAAAACACUCCUAUUUCCAAGAGUUCUGCUGCUGUUGCCAAAAUCCCUUUGCUUUUACACUUCACUCAAAGGGACCCGUGCAUGGGUUUCCUUCAAGCACUAAUUGCGCAUCUGAAUGAAUCCAUCUCCCUUCCUGUUCUGUCCUGCAGUAGCUGGAUCUUGCUUGUUCCUUGCACGGGCUGUCUGUCAGACCUGCUGGGGUCUGGAAUGCUGGCAUGCCAGAAAGCAAUGGAUUUCAGCAUCAUCCCCCCAAGGAAAGCCUUUGGUCCAGCCCUUCAUCCCUAUUUCAGACUGUACAGGAACAUUGUGGACUUGUUCCCCCUCUACCUGGAGCCUUUCAGCAGUGCAGAAGUUCAGCUAUUACAGCCCUGCAUGGGAGAGACAUUAAUUCAUCUAGGAAAUGUUUCUAAAGGCUUUGUGGGCAAUCCUUGCUUGGUUUCAUUGAUGAAAAUUUGUAUUCUGGGAAUGUUUGAAUUCAUUUGACUUUUCCAAUGUGUGUUUGCUGAUGUUUGCAGCUGGAAAUGGAGAAGAGAUUGUUGGAACCUUUAAAUAGAGCAGUGCUUGAUACGGUGAGGUGGCGCUUUGUGCUUUCUGUCUAAAAUAGCAGCUGAAUUCUGUCACAUUUUGUUUGGUAUAACUGAGAGCACAGCCAACUGAAAGCACUACAAAUAGCAUUUAUUUACAUGGCAAAGCAUUGUAUCAACCUUCCUUUCCAGUGUCCAGGAAUCAUGGAAUCAUAGACUCACCAGAGGAAAGGACCUGCCAGGAUGAUGGAGUCCAAGCCCUGGCCCUGCACAGACACCCCAACAAUCCCAGCCUGUGCAUCCCUGAGAGCAUUGUUCAAAUGUUCCUUGGGCUCUGUCAGCCUGGGGCUGUGCCCAUUCCCUGGGGGAGUCUGCUCAGUGCCCCAGCACCAUCUGGGAGAAGAACCUUUUCCUAAAAUCCCACCUGACCCUGCCCUGACACAGCUCCAGCCGCUCCCUCAGGUGCUGUCCCUGUCACAGAGAGCAGAGAUUGGAGAUGUCCUCUGGGAGGAAGCUGCCAGCCAUGCUGAGACCUGCUCCCUCUCUCUCCUCCUCUUCUCCAAGCUGACCAAGCCAAUUGACUUUAGCCGUUCCUCAUACAGCUUCCCCUCCUGUCCCCUCAUCAUCUUCACUCCCCUCUUUGAAUACUCUCUGCAGGCUUUGUAUCCUUAUGAUAUGUUCAGAGAGGUUGCUGCUCUUUUCUCCCUGCACCUCAUGACCCAGCUGUACUGUAUGCUGUGCAUGACACCAUCCUGGGGGCUCCAGCACUAACAAUAGCAGUGGUAUUUGUUUACAUGUGGAAACAUUUCCUGCUGAAAAGUAAAGGGCUUUCACUGAUUCACACGGCAGUUAGCUUGCACCAUAAAUUCUUGAGAUAAGAUUCCUUUCUGGAAGUUAUUUUUCCCAUAGAAUUUGUCUGCCUUGGAUGUGAAAAUUGUGCUAUUUGUUCACUCCCUUCCUAUAUAAAACCUGUGGAAUCCUUUAAACCCUUCAGGGAAAUCCCAAGGACCUUGCCUUGUAAGAAUAUAGCCUAGAGUCUCCACCUAGGCUUAAAGAGAAGACUUCUGCCAUGGAGCCUUGCAACACCAUGAUCCACCUCAGUUCCUUUCCCCAUAUGUCCCAAAUUCUUGUGGUUUUUCCUUUCCCUGUUUCCUCAUUGGUUGUGGUAUCUCUGGUGGCCAGCCCUGUCUUCCCUGUAGGCCAAUGCCAUCAGACCACUGGCCUCUGACCCCUACUUAACCUUGUGCAGAGCACAGGGCCAGGUCUUUGUCCCUGAUCCCUUUGGCAUGGUGGAUGCAAUAAACCUUCGCUGGAAUACAUCA